AAGUCGUAACAAGGUUUCCGUAGGUGAACCUGCGGAAGGAUCAUUAAUGAAUUCCGAUGUUCUUUCGAGACAUCUCCUCAUUUAAUUUCCUGUGAACUGUUGUCGUGCACACGGGGUGUGCACGCCCUUUUUUAUAAACAACGUCUGUCGAAUGUUUUGUACUUGUUGGACUCUGUGUAAUGCAGAGUGAACAAAAAAAAAUACAACUUUUAGCAACGGAUCUCUUGGCUCUC
rnacentral:misc_RNA from 1 species